UCUCCGUAGGUGAACCUGCGGAGGGAUCAUUACACAAAUAUGAAGGCGGGCUGGAACCUCUCGGGGUUACAGCCUUGCUGAAUUAUUCACCCUUGUCUUUUGCGUACUUCUUGUUUCCUUGGUGGGUUCGCCCACCACUAGGACAAACAUAAACCUUUUGUACCAUCUGAGUCUUCCACAAAUAAACAAAACUUUCAACAACGGAUCUCUUGGUUCUG
rnacentral:misc_RNA from 1 species